ACUACAAGCUACACCUGUUGGCUGGACUAUAUGUGUUACGUCGUAUGUAUAUUCAUGUCAUAUAUGUUCGUGCGGUGUUGUCUUUGUUCUAUACGGGCCACCGUACUACGAGGUGAGACCAGGUAGGUGCGUGAAAAUGUCGGCCGUGUGUUUUCUCGGACCGGUACGCACGAGGUGUGUUCCCCGAGUUUUACUGUGGUAGUAGUGGGACACUAAUUAUUCAGGCACAGAUAACAGACUGUGCUCCCAAUACCGGUCACAACAACGACAUGUGAGAGACCUCUGUCAGGGCCUAUCAUAGAGCAAGGGAAUACCAGCGCCUGGACCUUCAGACAGGAAGGUCAACUAGAUUACCCAAAGCUUCGGGAUAGGUCAUGAGGCGACCUUGGUGGUAACGUUGAUUGAGCCGUGUGACACAAUCUUGUGAAUUGGUUGUGAGGGUCUGUUGUACCCAUCUCUACGGUGUCAGGAGUUGUGCUGAGGCACACUUUUAUUUGUGUAACUUGAAGUUAUUGUGUGGUGAUCCUGUGUGGACACUAUUUCCGGUGGUCCAACUGCUGUCGGGAACCUUUAGUAUGAAGAGAAUGCAGCUGACGUUGUACCCAGCUAGGCGGGUGACCGUUUUGGAGGUUGUGAACCAAUAUUAUGAUUGGUAGAGCAGACUUUAGUGACUUUAAUACAAUUAUGGUGUGAAACUUGGUUGAGAGUGCGUGUGAUUGUUUACAUGUUGUAAAUAAAUUGUUAACUGUU